rnacentral:rRNA from 1 species
AGAGUUUGAUCAUGGCUCAGGACGAACGCUGGCGGCGUGCUUAACACAUGCAAGUCGAACGGUAAGGCCCUUUCGGGGGUACACGAGUGGCGAACGGGUGAGUAACACGUGGGUGAUCUGCCCUGCACUUUGGGAUAAGCCUGGGAAACUGGGUCUAAUACCGAAUAUUCCUUGCUGGUCGCAUGGCCUGGUGGGGGAAAGCUUUUGCGGUGUGGGAUGGGCCCGCGGCCUAUCAGCUUGUUGGUGGGGUGAUGGCCUACCAAGGCGACGACGGGUAGCCGGCCUGAGAGGGUGUCCGGCCACACUGGGACUGAGAUACGGCCCAGACUCCUACGGGGAGGCAGCAGUGGGGAAUAUUGCACAAUGGGCGCAAGCCUGAUGCAGCGACGCCGCGUGAGGGAUGACGGCCUUCGGGUUGUAAACCUCUUUCAGUACAGACGAAGCGUAAGUGACGGUAUGUACAGAAGAAGCACCGGCCAACUACGUGCCAGCAGCCGCGGUAAUACGUAGGGUGCGAGCGUUGUCCGGAAUUACUGGGCGUAAAGAGCUCGUAGGUGGUUUGUCGCGUUGUUCGUGAAAACCGGGGGCUUAACCCUCGGCGUGCGGGCGAUACGGGCAGACUUGAGUACUGCAGGGGAGACUGGAAUUCCUGGUGUAGCGGUGGAAUGCGCAGAUAUCAGGAGGAACACCGGUGGCGAAGGCGGGUCUCUGGGCAGUAACUGACGCUGAGGAGCGAAAGCGUGGGGAGCGAACAGGAUUAGAUACCCUAGUAGUCC